rnacentral:tRNA from 1 species
GGAAGCGUGGCAGAGUGGUCGAUUGCACCGGUCUUGAAAACCGGCAACGGGCAACCGUUCGUGAGUUCGAAUCUCACCGCUUCCGCCG